AAAUUGUUAUAUUUUUAACAUAUUUAUUUAGGUUUUUUUUUUUGUUUUAUACUACACCUUAUCAUAAAUUUAUUUUUUAAAAAAUGUAAAAAGUACAACUACUUGUGCGAGCAUUAUAGCAAAAAAAAAAAAAAAAAAAAAAAAAAAUGGUAAUAAGUGUCAUAAGUACGUAUAUCUCUAUAUGUUCAUAUACACACAUGUGAAUGUAUAUAUUUACAUAUACGUAUAUAUAUAUAUAACGACAGAACUAUACAAGAUCUAAAAAAGGGAAAAAAAAACGAAUUAGGCGGAAUAUGUUUGUUUUUAAAAAUGCUCGAAGAAACUGUUUUUACACAAAAAUAUAUGAAAAUAUAAAAAUUAUAAGAGAAAUAAAACUAGCAAAUAAUAAUAAUAGUAUUAAUAAAAAUAAUAAUGAAAGCACCAAAACUAACAAUAUAUGUUUUAAAAACAAUGAAAGUGCAAACGAUAGUAGAACAUGUUUGCAAAAUGAUAUAAAUAAAAAAAAAGAAGUAAUAACUAAUUUAUCGCACAAUAAUAAAAACAAUGUAAAACAAUUUUAUGAACGCAUUUAUAAUGAAACAAAAAAAAAGAGGAAAAAUUUGUUAAAGGAAAAUAAUAAAAACAUUGAAAACAUAACUAGCAAUAAUAUAUAUGUUGACAAAGGUGUUUUGUUUGCAAUAAAAAGUAAAAAAUUGAAGCAGCAAGAAUCUAUCAAAAGUGAUAGUACUAAUUGGAUAAUAAAUAGUGAUAACAAGGGUAUGUUUAAAUAUGAUAAAAAUAACACGGUUAAUCAAAUAGAUAAUAGUAAUAGUUGUAGCACUGGUAGUGGUAGUAGCACCAGUAAUGCUAGUAGCAAAAAUGAGAUAGAUAACGAUAAAAAUCAAAACAAAUAUUUAAAAUUAAAAGAACGACUGAAAAGUAAAAAUGAGAAAAAAAACAGUAGUAAUAAUAAAUAUUUGAAAGAAAAAGAAAAACCCUAUUUGAAAAUAAAAGAUGUUUAUUUAAAGGUAAAAGACACAUAUGCAAUUAAUAAAAACCAGUUUGGUAAAGGGAAAAAUGGAUUUAACAACACCAAAACAAACGAAAAGACUGUAUCGACUAGUAAUUUGUUUAAAGGUAAAUGUACAUAUGGUAAAACGAAAAAUGUGGAAGAAGAGACAAUAAAUAAUGCUAUAAAUAAUGAUGUAAAUAAUGCUAUAAAUAAUGAUAAAAAUAAUGCUAUAAAUAAUGA
rnacentral:lncRNA from 1 species